UGUGCUUCACAGAUGCGUGUACCUUUUGAGUGUUUGUGACGCCUGUCAUUGAAAGCACACAACUGUCUGUUUUCAGGUUGAGGAAUGGAAGGGGAGAACCCGGCAUCCAAACGGAGCUUCCGUGGCGGUGAAGGAGCAUAAAACGGCCGCGUCGCAAAUAGCAGAAGUACCGCUGACUGAUGACCAAGAACAUUGGUUUGGCCUGUACUUCGAUGAGAUUCGGCCGGUGAUGUUACAAGGUAAUAAGUCAGUGGACAAUGCAGCAGCAGAGCAGAGUUUUUUUGUUUCAAGUACUGGAAGGCCAAUUUAUAACCCCUGCAACGACUUGAAAAGAUUCCAUGCCAAAUACAACAUUCCCAGGGUGACCAGCAGCGACGCUCGGACAGCCUUUGAGACGGCUGCUAAAAAUCUGCCGGAGGUGCAGAGGAAUGCGGUGGCACGUCUCUUGGGACACACGCCGGAAACAGCAGAGAAGCAUUACCGGAUGAAAACUCCGGCAGAUGCAUUCCUGGCCAAGGUUGUGGUCGAUGAGCUCACUGCAAA